UACGAAGGGAGCUAGCGUUGUUCGGAAUCACUGGGCGUAAAGCGCACGUAGGCGGAUUUGCCAGUCAGGGGUGAAAUCCCGGGGCUCAACCUCGGAACUGCCUUUGAUACAGCAAGUCUUGAGUUCGAGAGAGGUGGGUGGAAUUCCUAGUGUAGAGGUGAAAUUCGUAGAUAUUAGGAAGAACACCGGUGGCGAAGGCGGCCCACUGGCUCGACACUGACGCUGAGGUGCGAAAGCGUGGGGAGCAAACA
rnacentral:rRNA from 1 species